ACCGCUGUGUUUCUACAGUAGCCCAGAACAGACAAACUAAACCUUUGCUGCCUAAAUGUUUGUUUUGUUUUUCCUGAAAUAAGGAAAACUGUCAGUCCGCGGCUCGUGUGAGCUCUGGAUUAUUCUCCUCAGUCAUUUAUACGUACGAUAUAAAAUCUGUUCGUAAAAGUGGUUCUUGCAUGAGCCGUAAUUUCCCCCCAAAAAUACUGUUGGUGGUAGUUUGGACACAGUCGAAAACAACAGUUAUUUGAGCAGUUAAAUGAAUCCACCGACCCUCGAGCUGUGAGCCGUGGCCUGUUUCUGAGUCUCAUUUUAACGCUGCAUAUUUGAAAAGUCCUUAAUAACUCUGAUUUAAGGUGUUUUUUUUACUCUGACUAAAGUUUACAUCCACGCUGCAGAAACAGUGAAAAGAAAAAAGAUUUUCUUUUCAAAAUAAGUUUCUCUGAAUUGAUGGAAAUGACAAUAACUCGUCUGUACCACUUUUUACCCUGAAAGAUUUUGACUUUGACUUUUUCAUUAUUUUAAAAAAAGCUGUUUUGUGUUUGUUGUGUUUCAGUCGGCGGUUCGGCUGCAUUUCCACUUUAAACGAACUAGGGGUGGGCCGAUAGCUACGACAGAUUUCACUUCCUCUCGGUGGAAAUGCAGCCCGACCGUCUGUGUGGAAUAUUUCACAGUGUGGAUUUCGCAGAGCUGCUUCAUAGAGCGACAUACAAGUAUAUUUUCAAGUUUAUUUUAUGGAAUAAAUUUGUUACAAACUCCA